rnacentral:rRNA from 1 species
CGAAAGAGUUUGAUCAUGGCUCAGAAUGAACGCUGGCGGCGUGCUUAACACAUGCAAGUCGCACGAGAACGCUUCAGCUUGCUGAAGCUAGUAAAGUGGCGCACGGGUGAGUAACGCGUGGGUAAUCUACCUCCGAAUUGGGGACAACAUUGCGAAAGCGAUGCUAAUACCGGAUAAAAUCCUUUAAGCCUCGGUUAAAAGGAUCAAAGGUGGCCUCUACAUGUAAGCUACUGUUUGGAGACGAGCCCGCGUACCAUUAGCUUGUUGGUAGGGUAAAAGCCUACCAAGGCGACGAUGGUUAGCUGGUCUGAGAGGAUGAUCAGCCACACUGGAACUGACACACGGUCCAGACUCCUACGGGAGGCAGCAGUGAGGAAUUUUGCGCAAUGGGGGAAACCCUGACGCAGCAACGCCGCGUGAGUGAUGAAGGCUUUCGGGUCGUAAAGCUCUGUCAAGUGGGAAGAAACCGCACCGUGCAAAUAGUACGGUGCGCUGACGGUACCACUGAAGGAAGCACCGGCUAACUCCGUGCCAGCAGCCGCGGUAAUACGGGGGGUGCAAGCGUUAUUCGGAUUCAUUGGGCGUAAAGAGCGCGUAGGCUGUCUUUUAUGUCAGGUGUGAAAGCCCGGGGCUUAACCCCGGAAGUGCAUUUGAAACUGAAAGACUUGAGUAUGGGAGAGGGAAGUGGAAUUCCCUGGUGUAGCGGUGAAAUGCGUAGAUAUCAGGAGGAAC